rnacentral:rRNA from 1 species
CCUACGGGUGGCAGCAGUGAGGAAUAUUGGUCAAUGGACGAGAGCCUGAACCAGCCAAGCAGCGUGAAGGAUGACUGCCCUAUGGGUGGUAAAUUCUUUUUAUAUGGGAAUAAAACAGGGUAUGCAUACCCUCUUGUAUGUACCAUAUGAAUAAGGAUCGGCUAAUUCCGCGCCAGCAGCCGCGGUAAUACGGAGGAUCCGAGCGUUAUCCGGAUUUAUUGGGUUUAAAGGGAGCGUAGGUGGGUUGUUAAGUCAGUUGUGAAAGUUUGCGGCUCAACCGUAAAAUUGCAGUUGAAACUGGCAGUCUUGAGUACAGUAGAGGUGGGCGGAAUUCGUGGUGUAGCGGUGAAAUGCGUAGAUAUCACGAAGAAGACCGAUUGCGAAGGCAGCUCACUGGACUGCAACUGACGCUGAUGCUCGAAAGUGUGGGUAGCAAACAGGAUUAGAUACCCUGGUAGUC